UUUUUGAAAAGAUCUAAGAAGCCCAAACAUUUUUAAAAAUGCAAAUUGGAUAGGAAAACUCCAACAAACACUUGUCCGUGGGGAGCAACGGACGGGCCAACAGGCACCCAGUAUGCAGUAUCGAAUGUUCUACUGUCGAUAGCUUGAUACUAUCGUUUAUUAAAUGUGCUACAAUCGAUAAUAGAACAAAGAAGGAAAGAAGACUAUAAGAAAUUCGAUAUUCGUACCGCUGUUCAAUACUCGAUUCUAUAACAGGGUUUUGCUUUUUUUCAUUUUUUGAAAAUGCUAUUGUUGUAUUGUAAUUUCUAACCUAAAAGCUAAACCAUAAUUACUUGAAGACUCAUCAUUAGGUCAUUAAAAUUGCAAAUAAAUAAAAAUAUUUUGCAAUUUUCCAUUAAAAUACUGAUUAAUUAAAAAUAAGUUUUAAAAAUAAUAAGAUUCACUGAGAUUUACAUCAUACAUUUAGAGUCGCAGUAUCUUCAAAGUGAUGGACCGCAUGAUGUACUUUUGCCAAGUGUUUCAAAAUUUCCAUAUCACCAAUUAAAGUUGAUAUUGUGUGGCACAAAAGUGAUGCAUCCACCUAUCAUCUGUUUUUAGCCAUCAUAAAUGAACAUAUUGAUUUCUUGCACAUCAUGAACGAGAGUGGAAUGCCAGGACCUCGCCGAUUUUUCAUGUAGCCGAGUUGCAAUCCUGGCUUUUUCUCCCGAUUCAUCUACCAUUGAAGACUCUCAAGUUUAUCACUUUCAUCACGAGCAAUUUCAAGAAGAAUAAUUCUCUCGAGUAUUGGAAUGUUUGUAUUGAUAAUCGCUGUCAGCACCCAAACAGGCAGCACCUCAUGUAUUAUUUUGAUUAAUAAAGUUACUUUUCGUGCAUAUAA
rnacentral:misc_RNA from 1 species